UUCCUUUUCUUCUUCUGUUUUAUUCUUCUGAUGCUUCUCCCUAUUUUUCCUUCAGGCCUGUCUUCUUCUUCAUCUUCCGUUGGUAUUCCUUUCCCCAUCCCUUCCUCAGUCCGAUCUUCAACCGUUCCUUUUGAGUUCGUGUGUAGAGUUGGGGUGUUGGUCCUGGCUCGGGUGUUUCCCACACCAUCAUGUUCUCCUUAUUGUCUGUUUUUUUUGGCAGUGUUACUCGUGAGUUUCCCCGAGCUUUUUCCCAGUAGCUGGCUAAUCCCUCUUUGGUACCAACUAUCACCUGUUAGUGCUGUGAUCUGAUUGCUGUUCAGGGUUGGCGGUGGUGUCUAAGAUGACGUUACUCAAUGGUGUAUAACGUUUCCUGUGGCUGGCCUGGAUCUUUGUCGGUGGAGGAGUUUUCAGCAGAAGCUUCUCGAUUGGCUCUUGGGUGUUUUUUUGGGUUUCACUGUUGUGGGGCCUCCUUUUUUCUGUGGUGACUGCUUAUGAGGUUAGGGAUAAGCCCUCAACGUUGAAGGCAGAGGAUUAGGACUGGGUUGUGGUGGUUUUCGUCUUGUUGAGAUUUAUUAUGGGGUUUUUCAUGCGAUUCGAAGAUGAUAAUGUGGAGUCAACAAAGAUUGUGAACCCGUGGAAUGUGAAGAUCAUCUUAGUUGGUUGGUAGAAUUUAUUUGAUUUAAUGUGCUACCCGUAAAAGUUCCACUGAAUUAUGCUUGUAGGAAAAAACAAAUUAAUUGUCUUAAUUUGCUACUACGAUGGAAAAAAAAUUGUUCCCUUUAA